rnacentral:lncRNA from 1 species
GAUGAAAUAGUAUAAAGCCAAGCUUUGUUUUGUGUAUUGUUUUGUUUUGUUUGCUUGAGGACAAGCAAAGUUCUAAGUUUGGGGUGUUGAUGAAGGUUGAAAAACAGUUAUUUUCAUAUGUCAUUGUAGACCAAAUUACUCCCUUUACUACUUAGAAUGAGCUUAGAAUCAAGCAAAACUCAAUAAAUGAGUCUGUAGAGAGUCAAAAGCUAUUUUUAGCGAUAUUAUGCUUGUUUUGCAUUGUUUUGUAGCAUUUUUGAGAAAGUGAAGAAUGGAGUUGAGGAUAAAGGUCGUAGACUCAAGAAAAGAGAAGAAAAUUGAAGAUUUGAAGAGUCGACGCACCGCCCAGCAGCAAAUUACACCGUCGGGCGGUCCAGGGCAAGGAGUAGGCACCUAACGUGGGCGCUGGGCGGAUUUGCGAUUAGAGGCAAACCGCUGGGCAAUAGACCCCUACCGUCGGGCAGUAGUGUGAUUUCAGGGAAACCGCCGGGCGCCACACUUGUUCCACCGAGCGGUUGUCUGCUGGGCUUGGGCCUGUUUUCUGUUGCGCUCCUCACUUAUAAAUAGCCCUAUUGCGAGUUUAGAUGUAUUCUUUUGACAGAAGGGGGCGGCCAGACCUAAUUUCACUCUCUGGAGAGGAUCUCUUGGAUGCUUAGGCUCCUUUUUCACUUCUGCUUUAUAAUGCUUUUUUAAUUGCUAGGGGAGGCUAGGGAUAGCAAGUCAGUAAUUAGUAAGAGGCUCUUUUCACCGAGGGAUCGGGUUAAGGGUAGGCUAAGAAAGUUGCAUGACAAUUAGAUAAUCAAGCUAAUAAAUCAAGAGGAAUAAAUAAGAGAGAACGGAUAAGAUAAAACUGUAAACCCCCAAAAACUCCAUUCAUCCAUUGUUUUCUUCUUGUCAAUUGAAUCAAUAUCUUUUGCAUGUUUAUAUUUUAUUCACACAUUCACUUAAUUAAUUUUUUAUUUUCAAGUCUUACGAUCUUAAUUCACACGAACGAUAAGGCCUUUCGAGUCUCUUGGGAAAACGAUACUUGGACUUACCAUUUAUUAUUACUUGAUACGAUUUGGUACGCUUGCCAAUCCGUUAACACCUGGUCGGCCAACCUGGCCAUCGAACUUUCUACCGUCCGCCUUAUCCCCCUUGGCCUCCUGGAUCUUGAUACGCGAGGCCCAAGCCCAAUUUCCUUAGUCUAGUAUUUCUUUUAAUUUUAUUAGAGAUGUGUACAAUGUGUUAGGCAUGUGGUACAUUUAGCCCUAUAUAUAGGCAUGCUAACGCAUCUUCUAAUCACUUUUGAGAUUAAUGAGAAUUUGGUUUUCUAAAACAGAAAAUAAUUCUCUCUUGAAAGUCAUAGGCUAGAGAGUCCAAAGACUCCCUCUAGCCACCUUCCAAGCACCUCUCUCACUUUCCAAUUUCAUUUGCCAUUAUCUAGUGUGCUUCUCUCUCCACAUUGCAUCAAACCAUACUCCACUACCACACUUCCUGUGCACGCGUCAGUGUUACAACCACGCGUCCUCCUCUGACUCGUGCCAACACCACCAUAUUUUUCCUUCAGACGAACCACGACCUCAUUUCUUCCAUUGCAUCACAUUUCUAGGGUUUGCUCUUGAGAAACAUUUUCUCUCUCGAGUUCCUCGUCUCCAGCCACGAUUCUUCACUGUAAGUCUCGUUUUCAUCAUAGUUUCACUUCGUCUCUCUCCUUUCUCUGUCGUCACAGCCUUUUACCACCAUUUUCUUCAUAUUUUGACCGAUUAAACUCCUUGCCUCACCAUUUCCCAUCAUUUUCACCGAUUGAAUUUGAUUUCCACCGUUUAAAACCUUAUCCACCGUUCAUCCACUGUUUUGAACCGAUUAAUCGGUUCGUUUGAGCCACCUCACCAUUGCUAGGGUUUCUUUGUCUCAGAUUAGGGUUCUAGUGAGUGGAUCUCACUUUUGGUCCGAUUAGAGUCUAAGAUUGUUUCCUCCUUCAAGUAUCAUCAUUCCUUCGAGGCUCUCUCGUAUCAGAUCUCCUUUCUAUAACUUUGCUUCAUAUCCCCCACGCGUAUCUCGUUAGUCGCCCGUUCAUGCAGCUCUUCCAUGGUCUUUGGUGGCAUUCGGCACACACUAUCCUUGAAGGGGCCCGACCUUAGUGCCGACAAAACAUACUGGAGGGCAAGCUUAAGACUGAGGCCCUUUACCCGUCGGACCGUCUUCUGAUAUCAGUCCAUAAAAGUUUUCAACGAUUCCUCCUUUCCCUGCUUU